rnacentral:lncRNA from 1 species
UUUUUUUUUUUUUUUUUUUUUUUGGUUUUCGGUUUGUUUUGAUUCUUCAUCCAUUAUUCGUUUAGGAUACAGCAUUCAGCUGUGGGUCCGUUCAUUUAGAUGUUUAUUGAGCACCUGCUAUGCAACAGGGAAUUUUCUAAGUGUGAGACAGAGCAACAAACAAGAGGUCAAGUCCCAGACCUCAUAGGGCUUUUUUUUUUUAGCUCUUCCUGGCGUCUGGAAAUUCCCAGACCAGGAAUCAAACCCAAGCCACAGCAGCGACCCAAGGUGGUGCAGGGACAAUGCUGGAUCCUUAAUCCACUUGUGCUAUAAGGGUUUACAUUCUUGAGAGAAGGCCAGACAAUAAUGGUGUAGAAGAAAGCAAAGAAAAUUGCAGAGGCAAUUAAGCAAAUUUAAAUGAUCUUCUCCCUCUCUUUCCAAAAUGUAGCACGUCCCUUUCUAGUUGCAUCCCAUUCUAGUUAUCCUCCUGCCUUCACAUUUGUUCUUUUGAUCUGGACAACUCCUUACACGUAGGACUGUAACCAGGUGACCUGUAAUCAUUAAUCGCACCCCUUUUCAUUCUCAGAAGUGGUGGAUUUUGGAGGGUAAAUAAUAUGAUCAUCCUACCUAGCCCACAGCUGUCUCAAAGACUGUGAGAGUCUGCCAAGGUCUGGAGAUGCCUCUGGAACAGUGGCCAUUCAUCCAAAAAGUGAUUGCUAUGGCAUAGCAAGCUCAGGACUAGACUGGGGCUGUAAGAGGGGAGAGGGAUGUUCUUGUUCUCAUGAAGCUUACAAUUUGGUAGAGAAGCAGAAUCUGAUUAUCACACUAAUAAAGGUACAAAUUAUGCUAAGGGCUAUGAAAUGAGUUGUAUGCUGCCAAGAGGGGACCUAAUGGGGGCUGGCAAGCAGGGCUAGAGGGUCCUUGAACUUUUCCCUGAAGAAAUCUUGGAGAGCUAUUUGAAGAAGGAAGAGCAAUUCACACACUGGAACAGCAUGUGCAAAGGCUUUGAGGCAAUACAGGAAAGGAAAAGAGGCAAACAGGAGCAUGAAGCUGGAGACGAACAGGAAAAGGUGGCUGGAGAGCAGGCUGCGUGUAUAAUAGAAGAGUUUAGAAGGCUAACUAUAGUGGUUUGGUAGGGCUGUUGAAAGAAAUUACCAUAAUUCAGUGGUUGAAUAUGACAGAAAUGUAUUCCCUCACAGUUUUGGAAGCCAAAAGUCUGAAACCAAGGUAUCGGCACAGCCACAGUCCCUGUGAAGGCACUAAGGGAGGAUCUUCCUUGCUUCCUCCAUCAUCAGGCACAGACAGUAGUUACACAUGGACCAGAUCCUUAAACCAGUUGAGUAACUGAUGCGCUUUUACCUUUUCUUUGGCGUUCUGGAUAUUCUUAAAGAAGCAGGGAAAAGGCUAGGUCAAGACUAAAUACCCUGCCUGUCGCCAGGCUCGUGAUAUAUUUACCCUAAGUCCUAGAAAUUAGCUAGGUACAUUUAGUAAAACUAUCGCUUUAAUGAAUCAUUGCUGUAAGGCAUUAAAUGGAACCCUACAGGGUUGGGAGAAUUAAUGUUCACUCUAAAUUGUCAGAGAAUUCCCAAGGAGUAUACAACUGGCAAAGUCUGACAAUUGUUUAAUAACUAUAGUACUUGUUGUACCACAGAGUCGAAUGUAUUAUUGUUCUUUAAAGCAACUACUGCUUCCUUUUCAUUUAAUAGUUUUUAAAUUUUUUAUUAAGUAUAGUUGAUUUACAAUGUUGUGUCAAUUUCUGCUGUACAGCAAAGCAACCCAGUCAUAUACAUAUGUAUAUAUACAUAUUUUUCUCAUAUUCCAUCAUGUUUUAUCUCAAGAGAUUGGAUAUAGUUCCCUGUGCUGUACGGUAGGACCUCAUUGCUUAUCCACUCUAAAUGUAAUAGUUUGCAUCUACUAACCCCAAACUCCCAGUCCAUUCCACUUCCUAAUACAGUUUUUAAAUUACACUCUAUCCUGACCACAAAAAAGAAAUAAUUACUUGAUGUGAUGGAAGUGUUAGUAAAUACCAGUCAUGUUGCAAUAUAUAAAUGCAUCAAAUCAACAUGUUAUAUAACUUAAAUAUACACAAUGUUAUAUGUCAGUUAUAUCUCCAUAAAAACAAACAAAAGUUACAAUCCAAUUCUUUUUUUCCCUACAAGAGAGAGACAGAAAAUAUUUUAGCCAAAUAGAUAAGGCUAUUUCUCAUUUAGAUAAUAUCAUUACUUUAGCUCACUUUUCAUUUUUUUUUGAGGGGAGCGCACCCUCAGCAUAUGGAAGUUCUCAGGCUAGAGGUCAAAUCGGAGCUACAGCUGCCUGCCUACACCACAGUUCACAGCAACGCUGGAUCCUUAACCCACCAACUGAGGCCAGGGAUCAAAUCCUCAUCCUCAUGGAUCCUAGUCAAUUCAUUAACCGCUGGGCCACGAAGGGAACUCAGCUCACUUUUCAAAAGGAAACAGAUUGUAAACUUUUUCAUUAAAAGCACAGUUCCAUAAAGAAUAUAGCAGGAAAAAUUCAGAAUCUUUAUCCAACUUGUUAAAACUUGUCUUAAGGGACAAGUUUUUAAAAUUAGCUGUCUGUUAUGUUUGAAACAAAGGCACAUAUGAAUUUAUUUUUAAUGUUUGAGACUUUACUCCUAAGCCCUGUCUCGGGGGAAAUUGCUGGUAACUAACUUGCUGUCAUUUAGAAUCUAAGCGCUUAAGAUCUUCCCCCUCAUUUUCCACCUACCUGCACACACUCAACUGGCUGUUUUCUUCUCUUCUUCACUCUGGAGCACCUAUUCCAAAUGCUAAACAAGAAAAAUACAAUCCUUUCCAGUUCAUCAGUAGAUUUUUGGGAAAAGGAGUUUGAAAGUAGAAAAUUACUAUUUCUAGGUUAUCAGUAAAGUUUAAAACUUAAGGCUACCCCUAUUUCUUUUCUUUUUUCUUUUCUCUCUCUAUUUUUUUUUUUCCUUUUUUUUCUUUUUUUCUUUCUAGGGCUGCACCUAAGGCAUAUGGAAGUUCCUAGGCUAGGGAUCAAGGAGCUACAGCCGCCAGCCUACACCACAGCUCAUGGCAACAUCAGAUGCCCGACCCACUGCAUGAGGCCAGGGAUCAAACCUUCAUUCUCUUGGAUACUAGUCGGAUUCGUUUCCGCUGCGCCACAACAGGAACUCUCAGGCUACCCUUAUUCCUAAUUACUGUGGAUAAUCAAGAUACCAAGGCUGGUUUAUAAGAGCAAACAAUGUUGCAUGUUUUUGUUUCUUACUGUGAAUAAAUAUGAAUGUGUUUUAAUUGCAAUAUAGUUCACAUACAAUAUUAGUUUCAGGUGUACUACAUAGUGAUUUGACAUUUACAUACAUUAUGAAAUGAUCAACACAAUAAGUCUAGUAACUAUCCAUCCUUAUGCUGUAUAUUAUAUCCCCAUGGCUUAUCUAUUUUACUGCUGGAGGUUUGUACCUCUUAACCUCCUUCACCUAUUUUGCCCUCCCCUCCACCACCCUCCUUUCUGGCAACCAUCCACUUGUUCUCUGUACCUGUGAGUCUCCUUCUUUGUUUUGUGCAACAUGAAUUUGUUAUUCUGCAGAAAACCUAUAAUGCCUGUGGCUGUAUAAUAUUACUCACCUUUUUUCCAUUUCUUAAAUGAGUCGAAAUAGUCUAAUUAUCAGGACUAUAAUUGAAGAGUCAAAUCAUGAAAAGCUAGUAUAUUGUAAUCAGAUUAAUUAACUAGUUUUGGUUUUGGUUGCAUAAUGGAGAAAUAGACCUGACUAAAAAUUAAAUUGUACUUUGGUAUGUAUGAGUGUCUUGAAAUUUAUAUAAUGAAAAGUACUUUGGAGAAAUAAAUUCUGGAGUAAUGAUGUCAGCGGAUAGUGAAUAUCAUCUUAUGCUGCGAACUCACUCCCCAACAGAUGGUGCUAGCUCUCUUCUGGUGAGAGCUGUUCUGGUCUACCCUCUUUAGAAUGUACCCAUGACCUUGAGGGUGAAAAGUGAUUCAGUGAUUUGAAUAGAAUGUAUUGUAAACAUACUUCUACUGCACCUGAACUUUGGUUUAUAAUACAUCAUUCCACACAAUCCAGUUGGAGAAUCAAUGAUCUUAUUCUCUUAUGAAUUUGAUUUCUUCCAUGGUAGCUACAGAAAAUAAUUUUAAAGGUCAUUUAUAUGAUAAUAAUGAAUAUUAUUUAACUUUUUCAGAAACGCCAGCUUAGAGAAGGCCUCUUUAACUACGUAUCCCCAGAAAUGACACUGAGUCUUGAAAAUGUUGGAGGUGUUUCUUCCUAAUUUGACAAAUGUUUAGUGAUGAUCUAUGUAUAUUAAAUAUAAUACUAGGAACCAGGGGUGAAAAUAGAAGUUAUGCUUCCUCUUCUGAAGGACCCAGCCCAAUGAUUCCCAGAAUUAAAUCAUUUUCACAUAUUCUAUGAGCUUUCUGCCAUAAUAACACUCAUCAUUACCAUUAUAUGCUUACUAUUUUUCUUUAAAUUAGCUUUUAUUUUAAAAGAAAAAAUCUGUCAAUACUAAUUUUUUAAAGUGCCAUAGACAGAAAGUAAUCAUUAGAAAAUAUCAUAAAAAUACAUAAGUUCUAGACAAUUAUUAUUAUUUUUAGGGCCACACCCACAGCAUAUGGAGGUUCCCAGGCUAGGGGUCGAAUGGGAGCUGUAGCUGCCAGCCACAGCCACAGCCACAGCAGUGUGGGAUCUGAGCUG